AAAAAGAACAGAGAUGAAAUGAGAAUACAAGUUUAAGGCAUCAUCAGAACAGGGCUGCUCGAGGUCCGACACUUGUGUCAUCUCUCUUGUUUGUUUGCAGUUCCAAUGCUAUCCUCACGGCGAAUUUACUUAUUUACCUUACUCCGUAAAACUGUGUUACUUGCCACUUUUACCAACCAAAGAAUCCGUUACGGAUAUUGACAAAUCAACCCAUCUUUUUCCCUUGUUUUCUCUUUGGGUCCCAUUGUUUUAAUUUUGUCCCUUCAUAUUAUUUCAUUUCAUUAUUUAGUUAUGGCCAAAAGCGAACAAAAGUGAAUUUCUAGUGUUCACAUAUUACAAAAAGAAUGU